UACGGAGGGUGCGAGCGUUAAUCGGAAUUACUGGGCGUAAAGGGCGCGUAGGCGGUUUGGUAAGUUGGGUGUGAAAGCCCCGGGCUUAACCUGGGAAUGGCACUCGAUACUGCCGGGCUAGAGUAUGGUAGAGGGAGGCGGAAUUUCCGGUGUAGCGGUGAAAUGCGUAGAUAUCGGAAGGAACACCGGUGGCGAAGGCGGCCUCCUGGACCACCACUGACGCUGAGGUGCGAAAGCGUGGGGAGCGAACAGG
rnacentral:rRNA from 1 species